rnacentral:rRNA from 1 species
AGAGUUUGAUCAUGGCUCAGGAUGAACGCUAGCUACAGGCUUAACACAUGCAAGUCGAGGGGCAGCAUGAACUUAGCUUGCUAAGUUUGAUGGCGACCGGCGCACGGGUGAGUAACACGUAUCCAACCUUCCGUUUACUCAGGGAUAGCCUUUCGAAAGAAAGAUUAAUACCUGAUAGUAUGGUGAGAUUGCAUGAUAACACCAUUAAAGAUUUAUUGGUAAACGAUGGGGAUGCGUUCCAUUAGGUAGUAGGCGGGGUAACGGCCCACCUAGCCUGCGAUGGAUAGGGGUUCUGAGAGGAAGGUCCCCCACAUUGGAACUGAGACACGGUCCAAACUCCUACGGGAGGCAGCAGUGAGGAAUAUUGGUCAAUGGGCGAGAGCCUGAACCAGCCAAGUAGCGUGAAGGAUGAAGGUCCUGCGGAUUGUAAACUUCUUUUAUACGGGAAUAAAGUUUCCUACGUGUAGGAUUUUGUAUGUACCGUAUGAAUAAGCAUCGGCUAACUCCGUGCCAGCAGCCCCGGUAAUACGGAGGAUGCGAGCGUUAUCCGGA